ensembl:lncRNA
AUGGGUCCACCCACCAGCACGCCUGAGGCCCGUCGGGGCUGCCUGCGUCUUGAGGCCACCGCUUUGGCUUCACCGCUAACCUCGGCGGCUUCAGCAUUCCUUCCGGUUACGCCUUCACUGGCCACAAGGUCUGAUGGAAACUCCGUGGCUCCUGGAGUCGACAGCUGGAACAGAGCCACAGCAGGAUCCUUUCCUCCGUUGGGAGGUGCGGAGAGCCCUGCCACCUCUCUGCUUCUGCGUUCCACUUCACCUGACUACCCAGUCCUCGGUGAAGAGUCACCUGUUGCCCCCGAGCCUUGUCCCCAAAGAAGAACCCUUGAGAAGCCACACUUCCCUUUGCUCCAGGAAAGUCCACCAUCCGGUGAUUCAGAGUCUCCAGAGGGUGACGGCGAGCCAGAGACAGGAGGAGAUCCAGGGUCCAGUGAGCCGUUUCCUCCUGAGGAUAGCAAGAGCGGUCCUGGAGUAACUGGUCCUGCCGACCUGCGCCCGCCAUUGCCUUCCCCUGCUUGCCUGAAGGAAUCGGCAGCAGCUGACUGUGAGGAAGGGUUUUGGAUUGGAAGGCCGAACGAUCCCGCUGGGCUUCCGAAAGGCUUGCCGCAGGCCACAUACUUCCUCCCUUCGAAGAGCAGAGACGAACCUGGUCCUGCGUCCACUCCUCCUGGCCAAGAAGAACUUGUUCCUGAUUCCUCUGGCCAAGAGGAAAAAAUCAGAGAGAUGAAUUUCUCCCGGAGCCCGGAAGAAACCGCUCAGCUUGAGCCUCCUGUUGAGAAACACAGCGUGCUUGAGAGGCAGGUAGUGGAAGAGGAGGGAGAAGCCAUGGGGGGUGAUGAGGGGACACCCGUGUGGAGGAUGGAAGGAGAGAGCCCUGGGGAAGAGCAAGCACGGAGCGUUAUGGAGCAGGCAGUGCCUGGAGCAGACGUGGCCGCCAGUGCAGCACACAGGGUCCCAGAGGAAAUAAGGACCUCCCUCUCAGGAAUAUCGGGAAGUGCGCAGAACAACGGAUCAGACAGAAUGGCUGGGGACUGUCCUUCCCUCAAAGAGCCAGAGAGCCCGUCUUUACCCGGCUCGGUGAGGUGGGCCAGAUCGGAUCCUGAACGAGCCCGUGACGCUUCACCACGAAAGAGCCGGUCUUGGGGGACUCCAAAGGCCAGCGAUGACUGUGCUAUGAACUCACAAGAUAGUGCCUCUGAUGGUGAAAAGGACAUGGAAACCCAGCCUUGUGGAGAUACCAACCUGUUAGCUGUGGGUUGCCACACUGGCACAAGAGACACAGACCGCCCCGAGUUAGAGACGGGCUCUGUGAAUCGAGAGGCUGCGGGGGUCGGCCUUUUAGAAGCCCCUUGCGCAGAAACGGGGGCUCAGUCUCUCCGUGGAAAGGAAAGGGGGCUGGAUGGCGUGACUUCAGAGUGUGCAGAAGGAAAGGACACAAGUACAAAGCUAGAUGGCUUUGGUUAUGACGGGUUAAGCACCCGUGUGGUGUUACCUGGUCUUCCGCCAGUGGCUUUGCCAGCUGAGGAGCCUUCCAAGGAGGAGUUUGACAAAGAAGGAGAAGCGGAAUCUGCUACAGCUAGGCAGGAAAGCAUGUCUUCGGGAGAUCUCUCAGAGCCUUCUGGCCAGGAGAGCGUUCUUCCUGCUGCUUCAAACCCCCUGGCUGUGCCUGUUCUGCAGAAAGGGGCAAUUCCCGAACAGCCCCUUGCGGCUGCGGUGCUUGAACGCCUUGAGGUAGUUCCGGGCGAAGGGUGCUUCUGUGGAAGCCUGUCCUGCAACAGCGAGAUUCCCGCUGAAGAAAAGGGGGAGGAGACGGCCAAAGUUGAGAGAAGAUCAGAGUGUUUAGGCCCCAAAUGGGACGGAAAGGACAAAGACCAAGACAGCGAUGUUGCUGGUUCUGUGCCGGAGGUCGACGUCCGUGAGGAUGGCGGUCAUUCCCCGUUAGCGGCUGGAUCCCCCGAAGGUCAGCCCAGCUGUGAAAGUGGCAGUGAGGAGGAAAUGGAGACCGAAUACCUACAGGGAGAAGAGAACUCGGAGGAAGAGGCAGAAGAAGCCGGCACUGCAGGAGCUGCUGGCCCCCAGCAACAAGCCGCUGGAAGGGACAGCUGGCCGAGGGGCCUGCGGGAGGGCCCUCUCUGUGCCCCUGCCAAAGACCCCCCCACAAGAUGCCGUCAAGAGGAGGCCGCCGGGCCCUUGGCAGGCACAGCAGGCCGGCCGGCCGGGCAACGUUCUCCUUUCCGAGGGCUUGCAGAUGACUUUGGGGAGGGAGGCAUCCCCCGCUCCAGCCAUUCUCCUUCCACCGAGGCACGGUGCCCUUUGCAGACAAGCAAGGAGGAAGCUGGUGGGAAACGGGGACCUGAAAAUGGCAGUCUUUUGGCGCGCCCAGUGGGCACCGAGGAGGAAGGAGAGAGGCAGGAUGGAGAAGGACUGCCUGCGGUGGCCGGAGGUGGCGGUGCAGGGGAUGCAGAGGCCUCCUCGGGUCACGCAGAGGGCGGUGGUGAGGGAAACCCUUCCCAGAUGGGGCUAUGGGAUGAUUUCCAUGCGCCUCAUGGAUCUCCUUCCAGCAACUCUACCCACCUGAAAUGCUGUCCGGAGCCCCCCUUGCCUGUUGACCAACUGGAAGCAGAACCUGACAGGCCUGAGCCUGAAGCCCCAGAAGGUCGCUUGGGGAUGAAUCCCCAGGGAGUCGAGGUUGGGAAGCCAGUGCUUUGCCCCAAGGCCUCUCUCAUGGAAGGCAGUGCUCCCGAGGAAGCCCAUGAACCAGACGUGGUGGUUGACCGUUUCGCCUCUCCCGGACCGGAACGUGCUUGUCAAGAUACAACCUUCCAGGAAGAAGACGUGGGAUUCGGGCGAACUCCUGAAGGACCCCAGUGGGAGGAGGAAAAGGUCAGCCUCCGAGAAGGCGCUCCGAGGGCUGCCUCUGAGAAGGCUGGAGCUGCGGAAGAAAGUGGGGUAGGAAACCUUCUGAGGGAGCCCCAGGUGGACUCUGCUGAGGUCCCAGAGUCCUGUGGCCAUGGCAAACGCAACGCGCAUGUCCCUGACUCUGGAACGGAUGAGGAAGAUUCCACUGGCAGAGAGAGCGUCCAAGGUGCUCAAGCUCCAGGCGGAUGGCGGCAUGAUUGGGGGGUGGCUGAGAACAGCAACGUGUGGGGCGACGUAAGUGAGGGAUCCACCGUCCAAGCUCCGUGCACUGCAGCCGUCCAGGGAAGCAGCAUUGGGGGCCAGGAGAUGUCGGGCAUGCUUUUAGAGCAGCACCUCGGCUCCCGUAGUGAAUCACUUGACGACAUAGAGGAUGCUGCAGUUGCUGAACCUCAGAGCCACCAGGCAGAGGUGGCAGCGGGUGGAGAUUCAACUCUUUCCGUGAGACGUGGAGGAGCGGCAGAAGAAGGGGAAGAUCCGUAUGCUAACAGAGGGGGACUUGCAGCGGUAGCUUCUGUCCAUCUGGCUGCUGAGCCCCCUUGCCUGGCAGAAAUCCAUGCCAAAUGUAGCCUAAAGGGAGAAGCCCCGGAUGGUGCUGGUGAAUUAUCAGAGAAUGCCAGUUCAGCUCUUGAGCCGGAUGGUGGCCUUGCGAGUGGCAGAUCUCCUUGCCAGCUAGGAGUGGGGAGGUUGCCAGUGCCCUUUGAAGCUGGAGGCAGAGGCGAAGAGCCCCCGGGGUGGGGAGGGCCAGCUGGCCUUCGGUCUGACAAAGAGGAAUGGACCCAGAAGACUGAAGGGCAGUGCCCGGCACACCUGUGCCCCGACGUUGAAACCGGGCGGCGUGACGGAAGCGAAGGCCAAUAUGAAGUGGGUUCGGAUUCCUCCUCUGUCGGGUUGAAUGAAGGGGAGGAGUUCUGGGACUGUCCUGGAGGCAUCUUGCAGAAGGAAGAGGAGCCGGAAGGCGUUUAUUCCAGGAAAAGGCCCCUGGAUGACAAGGUGGAGGUCAGGGUUUCAGACCGAGGAGAGGAUUCUGGUUCUCCAAAGAGGCCCUGCCUUCAGGAUCUGCAUCCGGGACGGGAGCUGCCAUUUGGCCUGUCUCCUCUGGCCAUGACCGCUCCUCUUCUAGAAGUUAGGAAGGGUGACCUGUUUGGCACAACAAAGGGGAGGUUUCCGGACCCGCUCAGCGACCGCGUCACUCUGCAUCUGGGCCGAAUGGAACAGCACAAGAGAGACAUGGUGGCAGAAAUGGUGAGAAAUUAUUUCGAGAAGACCUUUUGCUCCAGUGAACCAGGCAACGGAAGUGGAAAAGCAGCAAUGCUGGCACUUCCCGUUGAAGCGGGUGAGGGUUCAGAGAGCAGAUCUGCAGGUGUGCCGGAGACGAGGGGGGAAACACGCCAGGAGGAGCCCCCGUUCUCUGCUGAGGACCCGAGCAGCAGUACCUGGUUGCAGGCCUCUUCCUCGGAUGGGCAGCCUUUGUCUGCCGUUUCCCCAUCUGGCUGCCCUCCCCGAGAACACGGAGACGGCUCGGAAAGCCACAGUCCAGAAAGCAUUUGGGAGGCUUUCUUCUCCCAAGAGGAGCACUUCCAGACGAAGGUGUGUUCGGCCCUGGAAAGCUCCCCGCCAGGCUCUCCUAGCCGGUCCCUGAGUGUGGAGCGUGCGCCAGAGCCCAGCAGGGAGACCUUGGACGGUUUCUUCUCUGACACCUCCAACGGUUCUGGGGAGGCUGCUCACAGCGGAUCUGCCUGCAAACCAAGCGACGGGAAUUCUUCUGGAGGGGAGAGUGGCGGCCUCCCCGAAGGGGCUUCCGACCUCGCUGAGAUCAACACGCUGCCUGAAUCUUCCCGUGGAGCCUCGAGGACGCCCUCUGGUACCCCGGCAUCGUCUCCAGAAAGCCGCUGGUCUCUCACGGAGGAGGCACAGCCUGAGCCGGAUGGCUCCGUCACUCCAGGCGAGUGUGACGCCCUCCGUCUUCAGCGAGGGGACGGCAUGUUGGACGGGGCUGACGCCACUGAGGAAGCUGCCUGCAUUGAGGACUCUGAGCUGGGGGAGCCACCUUAUGUGAAUUCCAUUGCGGGAGAAAAGGAGCAGGAUGAGGCCAGCCGGAGCAGGAUGCAGAUGGAAGAGGCAGCUUCUGCCCAGAGGAAAGCCACGGACUCUCCUUGUCAAGGUAACGUUUAA